AAAAACCUAAGUGAUGUUUCUCAAGGCAUCAAGAGCCACCUUGAGAGAGCUGGUUGUGCUGGCACACACCUUUAUGCUCAGAACUCAGGAGGCAGAUGCAGCCAAGUAUCUUUGAAGUCAAGGACAACCUGGCCUAUAUAAUAGUGAGUUCAAGUCCCGCCAGGGCUACAAAAGUGAAACCUUGUCUCACAAACAAAACAUCAAACCUGGUGACCUGAACCUUGUGACCAAUAAACAUUUACUUACUAACUCUUUUGUGACAAAUUCCACAGGCAGCUGAGGACUCAGCCCAGGUGAGGCUUCCGCCUGAAAGAUGAGCUAAAGCCAGAGGGAAAUUCCAUCCAGGACCUCACAUGUGACUCGUUCCAAGGGCUCUGAAGACAGACCUUCAACAAAGCUCGCUUGGGUUUGAAGAUGAAUGCCAAUGGAGACAUACGUGUUGAUUAUCGACUCUGUGGCAAAGCAUCGUGGUUUGAUAACAGUAAAAGUCGGUUCUUUCCGAAACUCACAGUCAUAAAGAGAUGGGUGUGGUCUGUCUGUCACCAAGGGUGUUGCUUUGCUGGGCUCCGAACAAGUCAGGCCCUGAUUAGACUCCAGUUAAGAAGCUUGUGUGUGUGUGUGUGUGUGUGUGUGUGAGUGUGUGUGUGUGUGUGUGAGCGCGCGCACAGAGGAUUGUCCUGUACACAUCUGUGUGGAUGGCAACUGGCUGUGUGGACCACCUUUGCCCAAAUGACUCCAGUGGCCUCUGGCAUCAGAAUCCCUGUCCCUGCUGGGAGCAGGGGCAACUCUGGAUGGUCUAUGCUGGCAUCCUGACUCCAGAAACUGAAAGGGAGACACCUGAAGCUUGGAAGUUUCCCUGGCCUGUGGUAAAGCAAUUCUUGAGGGAAAAUGGCAGAGGCCAAAAGGAAGCAAGACCACACUAUUGCCUUAACCAAACGGGAGAGGAGAGGAGUUUGACUCACUCCGUGUCGUUUGCAUCCAGAGCCACCAUCCUGAUCCCUGAAGUGUGGAAGCUUCAAAUGGUUUGCCAUCCAAGAAGAGCCAGGGGCUGACAAGAUGAUUCAGUGGAUUUGAGCAUUGGCCACCAACCCUGAUGACCUGGACUUUACCCUCCAGUUGUCCUCGGACCUCCACACAUGUCAUGACACACAUUCCCCAUCCUCCAAUACAUUAAUA
rnacentral:lncRNA from 1 species